GUGGUCGGUGUACAGGUGGUGCAUGGCUGUCGUCAGCUCGUGUCGUGAGAUGUUGGGUUAAGUCCCGCAACGAGCGCAACCCUUGUCCCGUGUUGCCAGCAGGCCCUUGUGGUGCUGGGGACUCACGGGAGACCGCCGGGGUCAACUCGGAGGAAGGUGGGGACGACGUCAAGUCAUCAUGCCCCUUAUGUCUUGGGCUGCACACGUGCUACAAUGGCCGGUACAAUGAGCUGCGAUACCGUGAGGUGGAGCGAAUCUCAAAAAGCC
rnacentral:rRNA from 1 species